rnacentral:rRNA from 1 species
AGACAGCAGUAGCCGCGGUAAUACGUAGGUGGCAAGCGUUGUCCGGAAUUAUUGGGCGUAAAGCGCGCGCAGGCGGAUAGGUCAGUCUGUCUUAAAAGUUCGGGGCUUAACCCCGUGAUGAGAUGGAAGCUGCUGAUCUAGAGUAUCGGAGAGGAAAGUGGAAUUCCUAGUGUAGCGGUGAAAUGCGUAGAUAUUAGGAAGAACACCAGUGGCGAAGGCGACUUUCUGGACGAAAACUGACGCUGAGGCGCGAAAGCCAGGGGAGCGAACGGGAUUAGAUACCCCCGUAGUCCCUGUCUCUUAUACA